CCGCAGCGCAGCGCCGGCCAUCCCGCACGCCCGCCGCUCGUCUCAAAACCACGGUCUCGCUUCCCACCGUAUCAGCUCGCCUUCCUCUCCGCGCGCACGCCGGUUUCGCGGUUUCUUGCAGCCUAUAAAUCCGGCCGGAGCACCCAGCUCUGCACCAUCCCAUUUCACACAACCGCUACUCAUCUUACCUGACACACUUCACUUCCUUCGGAUCUCGUGCCACCAAGCUCUGCUCCCGCCAAGAUGUCGACGGUGACCCGCGCCUACCUCGACCAGAGGCUCGCCGCUGCCAAGCGCUGCUCCAGAGGUAACCAAAACGAUAUCAUGGCCUGGCGCGCCCGUUCACCAUGCCGGCAAUGCUCUUGCUGCUCUGUUCCAAGUACUACAUUGCAGCUUUGUGUAGUACUGUCUGUGCUGAAACUUGGUGUUGAUUAACAUCCCUGUGUUGGUUCGAAACUGCAGAGGCUGCCAUGGCCGGAGCCAAGGCCGCGGCCGUCGCCACCGUCGCCGCCGCAGUCCCCACCGUAAGUACACAUUGCUCAGCCGGCACAGCUAGUUGCAAGGACGAACAAUCAGCUCACCAAGUUCUUCGUCCGUUCCUUUCUCUGCAGCUGGCGAGCGUGAGGAUGCUGCCGUGGGCCAAGGCGAACCUCAACCCGACCGGGCAGGCGCUCAUCAUCUCCACGGUCGCCGGGAUGGCCUACUUCAUCGUCGCCGACAAGACCAUCCUGUCCAUGGCCAGGAAGCACUCCUUCGACGACGCGCCAGACCACCUCAAGAACACCUCCUUCCAGUAAUUACGCUAUAAUAGCUCCAUUAAUAGUGCGUAAUAAACCGUGUACGCCGGUCGGCCUGUACAUGUCUGCUGAUUCAGCUAGGGAGGCGAUCAGGCGAGGCUUGCAGACAGUGAGUGGUCUACUGCGCUUCUCUCCGAGCAAGCACUUAUCUGAUCAAGUAAUCAUCAUGUAUCCAACCAGUAAUUUUGAAUUCAUAAUGACUUGUAUUUGUACAACUCAGGUUUACCCACCAUCCUUGUUCGUGGUUGUCAUUUGACAUGUGGCCAGUGGCAGAUCCUGCACAAGACCGAAAUAACACUGCAUUCUUCGACCCCCUAUCCUCACUUCUUAAAUCUUUUGAUAAGGUUUAAUAUAUGGCGUGGCAAAUAUGGAAAGUAUUUAUAAAGAUAAAAAAGGAAAAUAAUCCUCAGAACACAUGUGCAUUUUAACAAAGGACAGAACGACAAUCCCUCUUGUGCCUGAAGCAUAGAUCAUGUACCUCCACUCCCACCCCCACGCGUUAGAAUAAGGGUUUCGCAUACGACAAAAAAUGUUUCAGGAAUGUUGAUCUGGUUUGAAAGUAGUACUAAUAGAGCACUCGUGCGCCAGCGACCCUAUCCCAGUUUAGAACUCUCUUCCCUUUGAUUAGACCUUUGAAGUUCAGAAUGUACUCCAAUUCCUCCUGGAUGUUGAUCAUCAUCAUCAACUUUGCAUCUUUGUUGUCCGAUUUUGAUGAGUCGAUGAAUUAUUUUUUAAUGAAUUCAUCAAGCUCCUAUUCAUUAUACUCAUCAUCCAACAAAUCAAUCGUUUUGCCUAUAAAAGAAUAAAAGAAACUGCUCGGACAUUAUUGAACGCAUAGAUGGCAAGGUGUAUGACGGGAGGAGCGGGACAUAUUGCGGCGACGAGGAUGGCAGGGAGGAGUUUUGUGGCGGUGAUGCUGUCGCUUUAGGGUCAGGACAGUGGCGAAGCUAGGGAAGGGCCAUCGUGGACGCUGGAGAAAAGAGGAGAGAAAAUGGGCAGGUCUAGCUAGGUUGAGGUGAUUUGAUGAAAUUUAUGGUGGGUCCUGUCUGCCGGAUUCGACGUGGAGGACACGUCUGAGCCUCCCCAUAUCCACCUCAGAUAUGGGUCGGAUAUGAGGGGUGCCGGUCGGCCCGGACGCAUAAGACUAAUUUGAGGAAGUCAGCUGACUUCCUGUUUCUUGAGCGGUCAGUGACUGAAUCAUCCGCCCAAACAUAUAAAGCCAAUAUAAAGGGUCCGGUUGUGGAUGCUCUAAGCAUUCAACACUAAGGUCUCGCUCUGCUGAGGUGUGCAAAGGCAAGCACCGCGAUGCUAGCGGAUUCCAACUAAAAUGAGUAUAGCACAAAUAAAUUUGUAUUUGAAAAUUUCGAACAGUGUCCAGUUGGUAUUUGUGGGUAAAUAUGUUUCUCGCCCCCUCUUGGUAUUUUUUUGGGUAUUGGCAAAACCUUGGUGAGGGUCGAGAUUCACGAUGAUGGGAGAUGUAUGGUGGUUGUGCAAGCGGUGACGGGGCUAGCUAGUGAAAACAUUUUACGUUAUUUGAAUAGGUGAUCAACUUUAUAUUUUUCCGGUGAUCAAUAAAAGAUUUGCAGGGUGAACCAACCUGUGAUUGGAUUGUUAGGAGAAUAAUGGUAUCUCCAGCCCAUUAAAGUUAAAGUCCUGGUGCUGGUAUUUAUCCUGAAUUUAUUUCAGGAUUAUCUAUGAUGCACGUUCAGUGUGAGGAGACGUUUCUGUCGAUUAUAAGGAUCGGAAGAUGAUAUGCCGCCCGGGUGUGCGUGUGUUCAUCUGGCGCCGGAGUGCGUUUGCGCGUCGAUAUGAACGCUUGCGUUUGCACUGUGUUAAAAUUUUUUUUUGCAGCAAACCGCUCGCGGAAUUGGAUUGCGGCCGGGUUGGCCAAAAAACAGGGAGCACCCAGACCAGACAGAUCGCCAACAAAACGGAGGGCACACUCACGCACAUGCUCCUACGAUGCAGCACCUACGCACGAACUGGGACACGCUCCCUGCCAACCCCGAUCGAUCCAUCCACGCCUUAUCUUUACCUAUACUAGUUGCAGUGCAGUGGUCAUCAAAAAGUAUCAGAAAAAGUAUCAGAGGCGAGUCACGUGGGAUGGUUUUUAUAUGCGGGCCAUCUGUGCUCUGCCGCGUCGCCGGCCAUCCUCUGAAACCCACGGUCUCGCUUCCCACCGUAUCAGCUCGCCUUCCUCUCCGCGCGCACGCCGGUUUCGCGGUUUCUUGCAGCCUAUAAAUCCCGCCGGACCACCUCGCUCUGCCCAUCUCAUCUCAUCUCACACACCACUACUCAUCUUACCUGACGCAGUUCACUGCUAGCCAAUUCACUUCUCGUACCACCAACCUCCCUCGCCAAGAUGUCGACGGUGACCCGCGCCUACCUCGACCAGAGGCUCGCCGCCGCCAAGCGCUGCUCCAAAGGUAACGGUUCCGGCCUCAGGCCAGCACCUGCUCUGCUCGUAUAUCCCACUCAUUGCAGGUCAUGUGUGUGCUGAAACUUGAUCUUGAUUAACAUUCCUAUCCGAAACUGCAGAAGCUACCAUGGCGGGAGCCAAGGCCGCGGCCGUCGCCACCGUCGCUGCCGCAGUCCCCACAGUAAGUAGCCAGCUAGCCAUUCAGUUCUUCCAUGGUUCAUAGCAUGUCUCAUGAGUGCGUUACCUGUCAUUUCAGCUGGCGAGCGUGAGGAUGCUGCCGUGGGCCAAGGCGCACCUGAACCCCACCGGGCAGGCCCUCAUCAUCUCCACUGUCGCUGGGAUGGCCUACUUCAUCGUCGCCGACAAGACCAUCCUCUCCAUGGCCAUGGCCAGGAGGCACUCCUUCGAGGACGCGCCGGAGCACCUCAAGAACACCUCCUUCCACUAGUUAGAUCCAUUAUUAGUAAUGCCCAAUGAACCGUGUAUGCCAAAGUGCAUAGCGUACAGUGAUCAGCAAAGGGAGGUCAUAAUAUAAUUUUCAUCAUGCAAGUAGCCAUGUACAGCAUCUUUUGAGCUAGCAAUACUGAAAGAUGUACCAGCAUUUGUUAACCAAUAUUUUCCAGCUACCGGCUAUUUUGAUGAGUCAGUCAGAUUAUAUAAAAAGUUAAGCAACCUCAAGCUGACGUUUAGUUUAAUCUUGUUGGCUCGCUGCCACCCACGUGACACAUCGACUUGAUCAGCGACAACAUAUAGUAAACCUCAGAUCCUAGUUUCUAGUUAGCAAAUUCAGCGACAGUGCCGUUUUGAUCCAAGGUGAUCCCAGAAAGAUGCCGAAAUUUCUCAGAGGGGGAUAUUUACACACCAUGCAUCAUGUCAAAAAUCAGUGUUACAUCUCCAUUGCUUGCUGCCACUGAUCUCCCCGGAAUAUAUAGUUGUUUAACUAUCAAUAACUCAGUCCACACAACUGAAUCGUCAUGUUCGUGUUCAAUUUGGCAAUUCCCCUGGCGAAUCACAUAUCUUGCUUUGUAUAUGCAUAUGUGAUGUAUAUAUAUGUUUUUCGGAAAUGUUAACGCCCACACGUGUGGGCGUUUACAUCUCGCCCACAAGCGUGGAUCCGCGUCCGUUUGUGAGCGCACGAAUCUUGGCAUGUUUUUAGUGCCACGUAGGACUGGCCUGGUGUGUGGGCGUUCAUCCGGUCGCCCACACGAUCGUUUCACCACACGGGAGGGGCUGGUGUGUGGGCGUUCAACAGUUCGCCCACACGCCACUUUCCAUGCACGCACAAGGGCUAGUAUGUGAGCAUUUAUCAUCUCGCCCACACGCCAUCUUCUCUUCCACACCCAAGCUGCUAGUUGCCAUAUGUUAUGCAACGCACAUGGCAACUGCCCUAGUGUGCUUUGUAAGCAGGUGUCAACUCUCUUUUUACCCGAGUUGACAUGUGUUUUGCAGGGUACACGGCAACUGCCUAGUGUGCACGUAAGCAGAUGACAACUCUCUCUUUACCGAGUUGCCAUGUGUUUUUGCAUGGUAUAUGGCAACUGCCCUAACGUGCACGUAAGCAGAUGACAAUUCUUCCUUUUUACAUGGCAACUGCCCUAGUAUGCUUGUGAGCACAUGGCAACUCUCUCAACUGCCUAGUGGUAGUAUGUGGCAACUCCUAAAGUUUUGAAAUCAUGACAACUACAAUAGACCAGACCAUACAUGGCAACUGUAGUUGAGCAACCAUGGCAACUGCAGUUGUCCGACAUGGCAACCGUAGUUCAGCGACAUGGCAACUGCCCUAACGUGCACGUAAGCAGAUGACAAUUCUUCCUUUUUACAUGGCAACUGCCCUAGUAUGCUUGUGAGCACAUGGCAACUCUCUCAACUGCCUAGUGGUAGUAUGUGGCAACUCCUAAAGUUUUGAAAUCAUGACAACUACAAUAGACCAGACCAUACAUGGCAAACUGCAGUUGAGCAACCAUGGCAACUGCAGUUGUCCGACAUGGCAACCGUAGUUCAGCGACAUGACAACUGCAGUUAAACGAACAUGGACGAGGGUCUGGACCAUGGCAACUGCGGGCGCGCGGUGACUUUCACGCUGGGCGUGCGGGACCACGAGGUACGAGGCCUGACAUACGGGGCGUAUGGGCGUUAUCUACUUCGCCCACACGCACGCGUGUGAGAGGGAUCGGGAGGGAAAAAAAGAUGUGUGUGGGCAUUACUUGUUUUGCCCACACGUAGAUAUGUGGACUGUUUUUCUUAUACACCACACAAAAUGUGUGGGCAGUCUCCCUAACGCCCACACGUGUGGCACUUAUCGGCGUCCAUGUUUUUUUCAUGUGUACUUACCUUAUACAUAAAUUGAAGUGAAUGGCAGACAUGAACAUGUGAUGUAUAUAUGUUUUUGUCAUGAACAUGAUGACAUUGGUGUGAAAGUGAUCACAAUUUAGUUUACCUAACUUUGUAAUAAAUCAGUGUAAAUAUUUGCACGACACCAAAAUUAUUUCCGAUCUCACCAAAAGAUCCGAAAUUUAUAAGAUUUAGAAUUUAUAUAGAACCAGUUAGUCUAAAAUUCUUUGGAUUUGAACAACGUUAGUCCAAUUAUGACACGGUUCCCAUAGAAGUCAUCUUUUGCUACAUAAUUUUCUUUUGCUAUUUCAUCUUUACAAGAAGGAUUGGACGCGCUUUGCUUUGCUGUUGUUGGAUUUCACAAAGAUAAUUUUUGGUUUGGCGUGGGAGAAAGAUGAUGGAGUGUUUUUUUAAUGUGGUUCUCAGUGAGAUUUGUUAGCGGUGUGAUUAUAUGUUAUUUUCUAAUCAACAAAUACUUAUGUGGGGAAGUCCCGGUCCAAUUUUUUAUACUUAUGUUGGCAAGUUUUUUGCGUUGGUAGCCUCAUGUAUUAUAUUGGUGCCAUGGUGUCACAUGCUGGUGCUUCUUUUUUUAGAUGGUGAGAGGUGCACAACACAUGAUUAGUGUGUUUUUACGAGCUGGUUGUUGUCAAUUAAUUUGAGAAAUCAUUAACCCCGUCAAAAUCAUGAAUCAAAAUCCAAAAUUAAAUACCUCAACCAAAUGAAAGAGCAUGUUCAGAAAUAGUUGACCUAAUCAAAAUCAUAAAUCAAAGUCAGAUUUUAAAACUUCAAUUCAGUAGGAGGGAUCCAAAAUUAAAGAGCAUAAAUGAUAGCUAGUAAAAAACCUUUACGUUAUUUGAACUAGACGAUACCCCGCGCGUUGCUACGUAACUUUGUUAAAAAAUGCAGAGAUAGUUGCUAGAAAAUAUUCACAUCCAAUGAAAAGGAAAUAUUAGUUUGAAAAUCAAUAAAAGAAAGUCUCCAAAAACAGAAUAUAAAUUUUGGAAUUACUGCUAAAAAUAUCAUUUCGAACAAACAGGUAAAGGAUGACUACCAUGCAUGCAUGAUGUGGCAACGUUAUAUGCAUAGAGUAAUGCAAAAAUUAUUGCAAUUUAUUAGUUCGCUUAUGUGGUAGAUUUUGCAUGGCUUAGUGGGAGAGAAGACUUAAAUGCAUGGUCUUGGUGAUGGUAGUCUGGAUGGCGUACCAUCGAUACGAUAACGACUGCACAUUGAGAUCAUGGAUGAUGUGCAUGUCAUGGGGAGCAAUGUGCUUUUGCGCGUGAAACGAAUCAUGCACGCGCUGCCAGAAGAUCCCUCUUCUGCUACAGCCUAUGAACUCCGUGGAUAUGGCCAACCACGCAUCGCACAACAACUCAUCCUCCAUGGUUGAGUACCCCCACCAUUCUUUGUGGACUAAAUAAACAAAAUGCCAUUCAAAAAUAAGCUCAAUUAUAUUUGACCAAACACCUGUCAGGCAUGGUGUCAGCCAUGGACGUCGUCGACGGGUCCUGGAUGGACGGCGCCAUUGUAAAAGGUGAGCGGGCGUGUCGGUGCUGCUUGCGUAUGUCUGGCAAUGCCUGUGUGGCGGCCGGAGAGGUACAACGACAACGUCGGAGAAGGAGGAAGCAAUGGGGAGAAGGGGCGGCUUGGAAGAAAAUGUGACCGGGAGGAGGGAGGGGGGUAGUGGCCGGGGAUUCGGAGCCCUACGUGCCUGCUGUCUGGACUCCCGCACCCUCCCCACUUUGCUUCCAAUUUGCGGGAAAAAGUGCCUCUGGACCGAUCGUGAGACCGAUACACGCAUUGGAUGGCAAAGCACAUCCGAACUCUGCAGUUCGAAUGUGUGCGGGCGGUUUGAGGGUCGGUGUUGGAGAUGCCCUAAAAUGAGUAUAACACAUAGUUAUGCCUAGCUCAAAUAAAUUUAAAUUGAGAUUUAAACUUCCUUUGAGAAUUUUGAACGGUAUGCGGUUAGUUUUAUUCGGUAGCCACAUCUUUUUCCCCCUCUUGCCAUUUGUUCGGUAUAUUUGGUAGCCAUGACCUUGGCCGGGGUCGGGAUUCACGACGACGGGAGAUGUAUGGUGGUUGUGCGAGUGGUGACAUAGCUAGCUAGUGAAAACAUUUACUGUUGAGUAUCGUGAUUAUCAGGAAAGAGGAGAUAGACUAGGAUUUUUUUCUGGCUUGUCUUGUACUUUAAGUAAAUCAUUGUACUCCUAUAUAUAUAUGCCCACGAGGCUCAAGCAAUACAACGAACAACUAUUUCACCAGAUCCCUCUCUCCCUUCUAACAUGGUAUCAAUUUUCGGGUUCUAAAGCCUAGCCGCCGCCGCUUUUGCACCCGUGCACCGCCGCCGGGGCGGUCAGCCUCCAUGACCGUCGCUGGGGGCCGCGCCGCCCAUAUCGAGGGUUCAUCCGCCAGCCGUGUUGGCCGGCUGCCCUAGGGAGCCUUUUUCUCGAGCCCUUGCUUCGGGUUUUUUUUUGCUCUCUCGCUGGUCAUUUUGAUCGGCGUUUUUCUUUUUGAUUUUGAUCUAUGCUUGAUCAGUUUGUGUUGCCCGCCGCCGCCGUCGACACCCCGCGCCUCUACUCCGACACCGGCGCGACCGACCGGCUACUUCACCGACCCGGCGGCAUCGCGCGACAGGCAGCCCUCAAGGCCGUCGUCCGCGCCCUGGCCCGUUUGACGCCCUACGCCGGCCAUCAACGCCCUGCUCCGACCGGGGCACCUGCAUCGCCUACACCCGGCGGCCUCGCGCUAUGCGGCGGCCAAUAGUAGCCGCCGCUCGCGCGUCGACCCGCCAAUCGAUCCACGCCACCCGCCUCCGCCGCGUUUGCACAGCGGCCCGGCGGUCUUCCUCGCUGGCCUCGUCCUCCGCUGCAUAGGGACGGCUGUGUCAGGCUCGUUGGCUGCCUCAACUCGGGCGCCGCUGCUUCGUUGGUCGCUCGGGCCUCGCUGCCAAGGCGCCAACGCUGCUUUGGCAGCCUGGGUGCCGGUGCUGACAAGCUCGUCCGCACGACGUCCCACACCGUCCGUCGUCGCUGACCUCAUCUCGGACUCCGCCGCCACCCCGCCUCCACCGAGGGGCGUCCCCGACCUCGCGCAUGAUCGGCUUGAUCACCCGCUCACCGCUUCAUCUAGGCCGCGCGACCGACCUGGUCCAUCGGUUACGCGCGCCUCCGUAGGCCCCGUGAAGAUCGUCCUUGAGUUCAGCAUGCCCCUCCACCGAUCGAGCAAUGGGCUGCCGUCGCGUCGCCCCGUCGAGCCACAGCGCCACCGCCCCGUGGUUCACCUCGCGGUGCAUCGACUCGCGUAUUGCCGCUGCGUCGCCCCUACAGGCCGUAGUGCCGCGAUACGCGGUCCCAGCCGUCGUCCCGAGGCCGUCCCAAUGGUUGCACCGACGCACGCUCCGCCGCUGCACCGCCACUUCGGGUCGUAGCGCCGCGGUCCCUGCCGCCGCCCCGAGGUCUUCUUGCCGUCGCCCCGACCUGCCCGCCGCCACUGCGUUGCCCCUUCGGGCCGUAGCGCCGCGGCCUGCAGUCCAUUCCGCCGUCACCGCGCGUCGACCUCCCGUGGUAUGCGACACGCCCUCUCCCUGGGCGCGGGAAUGCCACCGUCCGCGUCGGUCUUCGUCACGUUGUCAGGGUUCUUCGCCUACAUCGAGCACCGUCACCGCGCUCCUAACCUAGCCUCCGCCGCCGCCGUCAGGCCGCCGGUGCCGCUCUUCUUUGGCCACCGCCGUUGUCGGUGUCAAAACUGGCAGAUCUCGGGUAGGGGUUCCCGAACAGUGCGUCUAAGGCUAAUGGUAACAGGAGCCAGGGGACACAAUCUUUACCCAGGUUCAGGCCCUCUCUAUGGAGGUAAUACCCUACUUCCUGCUUGAUUGAUCUUGAUGAUAUGAGUAUUACAAGAAUUGAUCUACCACGAGAUCAUAGAGGCUAAACCCUACAAGCUAGCCUAUGAUUAUGAUUGUUGUUGUCCUACGAACUAAAUCCUCCGGUUUAUAUAGACACCGGAGGGGGCUAGGGUUACACAGAGUCGGUUACAGAGAAGGAAAUCUACAUAUCCGAAUUGUCAAGCUUGCCUUCCACGCAAAGGAGAGUCCCACACAGACACGGGACGAAGUCUUCAAUAUUGUAUCUUCAUAGUCCAAUAGUCCGGCUGUCCGAGGACCCCUUAAUCCAGGACUCCCUCAGUAGCCCCUAGACCAGGCUUCAAUGACGAUGAGUCCGGCGCGCAGAUUGUCUUCGGCAUUGCAAGGCGGGUUCCUUCUCCGAAUACUCCAUAGAAGAUCUCGAAUACAAGGAUCAUGUUCGGCUCUGCAAAACAAAUUCCACAUACCACCGUAGAGAGCACAAUAUUCCAAAAAUCUAAUCUGCUGAUAACUUUUCAUAGCAUGAUAUCACGCUACGGCUCGGUCAUUAUUCGAACCGUUUUUCUCAACCUGCCACUUCACAUCUUGCGAGGAGGUUUUAUUGGUACGUCUUGUCGAAGCAGAGAUCAUGUCCCCUUAUCACCGGAUUCUCAUCAAUACGGGUGUGGGUAACCCAACCGCGCCAUCAACACGACGCUUGGGGAAUAAGAUAGUUUAUCGGCAAGUGGGGAGGCGCAUGGUUUCUACCGCCUUUCUAAAGAGAUAAGGAUUCCCCUUUUUCACCCACGCCUUCUUCUUCUUCUGCUCAUCCAUUCUCCCUCCCUCGAGCUCCAGCGCGCAAGUUCUCACCUUCUCCGUAAAGCCAUUCCAAGCAUGUCCGGAGCGGGAGGCAAGUGGAUGGCCUCCUCCGUUAUGGAGGAGGACAUCACGAAGCUUUGGGAGGCCGGAUACCUAUCCGCAAACAUCACGCACAGGCUUCCGGCUGAAGGGCAAAUCGUCCCUACCCCUAAACCUCAGGAGAGGGUAGUGUUCCUCUCUCACUUCGUCCGCGGGCUGGGAUUCCCCCUCCACCCAUUUGUCCACGGACUUAUGUUCUACUAUGGGCUGGACUUCCAUGAUCUGGCCCCCAAUUUUAUCCUCAACAUCUUGGUGUUUAUCGUCGUGUGCGAGGCCUUCCUCUGCAUUACCGCCCACUUUGGCCUAUGGCUGAAGACCUUCAACGUGAAGCCAAAGGUGGUGGUUGGCCAACAAGUAGAGUGUGGGGGCGCCAUGGUGGGCAACAUGCCCAAUGUCACCUGACCCGAAGGCUCCUUUGUGGAGACCAUGAAGGGGUGGCAAUCGGGGUGGUUCUACAUCACCGAGCCGCGUGACACCAACUGGGCGGCAGCCCCCGAAUUUCGAUCCAGCAUCCCCAUGCGGCUCACCUCCUGGAAAGAGAAGGGCUUGGCCUGUGUCAUCGGUGGAGCUGACCGGACUUCAGACCUGCGUCCAAAAUAUGAUAGGCAAGAAAAUCAAGCUUGUCAAUGUGGUCCAGGUCAUGCUCCUCCGCCGAAUCAUUCCAUGUCGGAGACGGGCUUUCAAUAUGUGGGAGUUCGACCCGACCGAACACCAGACACUGUGAGAGCUCUUCGACACGACGCACGAAGACGUCUGGAAGGUGUUGUUCAAGGCCACCGAGGUAGCACCGCCCAUAACCGAGGAUCGCGGACUCAGCGCAGAGCGCCCCGCCAAUCCAGUAAGCUCUUUUCUUCUAUAUUUUGCAAGGUGUUCCUUUCCCCAGCAUAUUCGCGGGAGGAAUCUAAGCCUCCAUGCCAAUUUAACAGGACUGGGUAGCGAUAGCAGAGCGGAUUGACUGUCCAGCUCCGCUACCUGAAGAUCCAGCAUCGCCUCUUCUAACGAAGAUGCUGUUUCCGGCACCCUAUGAGGUGCCGGAGAAGAAGGUCAAGAAGAAGGCAACAGGGACUAGGAAGGGUCUCCGGUGCAAGGUUGUAUCGGACAUGACGUUUGAAGACAUCGAGGCGCACUCCUCCAACGAAGACGAGGAGGAGGAAGAAGAAAUCCCUCCCCCCUCCCCAACCGGGGGGCAAAGAAGAGAAAGGUCGCCCCACAAGGGGAGGCUGGGGCGUCCAAGAAGGGAAAGGCUUUCCUUCCGGACCACUCCACCAUGGCCACCUACAGCGGCGAGGAGUGGCUGCCCAGGGACAAGCCCCUGGCUAAGUCGUAACCAUCCGGACACUUUAAUGCUUCCAGUGUGUUUUGAUUUAUUGCUUCUUAUCAUGCCAAACAUGCAUAUGCAGUUCGGCCACAUCCCACAUCGACGCAUCCUCUUCGGAUGGGUCUUUGGGCCCGUCGGCGAUAAACAGUGAUUCACUCCCGACAGCCUCCUCCCCCAGGCCCAUGGACGACACCGAGGUGUUGUCUCAGAGGAUACCGGACCAGGGGGAGACAGUUCUGGAGACGCCCCAAGGCGAAAUCCAAGAUGCCGGGCACAUGGGAGGGAAGACCCCCAUGGAUUCCGAUGGCGGGGGCUGCAGCAAGUCUGGCCCCCAGCCGAAUGCGGCUCCAGAAACCCAAGUGGUUCCGGAUUCAGGAAGGCAGCCUCUCUCUAAGGAGGGCGAGCCGCCUGUACCAAUGACCUCUGUCCAUCCAGAGGCAUCGGAUAACUUGCUAGAAGCGCUUCGCGACACUUCCAUUGAUGAAGAACACCGUACUCUUAUGAGUUUGGUGAUUGAGAAGGUCCGGUCCGCCAAAAGCGGAUUGACCGAAGCCUGCGCGAGCCUCCUAACAGGCUUUGAGGUAAGUAAUAAAAUUGUAAGAAAGUAUCACAACAUAGACAGUAGCCCAUGAUGCUGUAUUUGGUGUUCGAAAAGAAAGGUCGAACAGAGGAUCAAAUAACAUCCGCAGGAGUCUAACAGAAAAUGUCUAUGUGAAUAAGUAGGCGUCACUGCUGGCCACUGCCGCUCAUACUGCGGAGGUCUCCGGACUAAAGCGGGCCUGGAGUAGACCGAGGAAGAGCUCGGCCGCAUGAAGAGGCAGCUGGAUGAAAACAAAGGUACACAAUACCCCGUCUAUAUAUGUAUAAAGGAAAAAAUUGUUGCUUCUAAGCGUCAUGAAUUUUAAUAGGGGCCACGACCGAAGUGGCGGCCCUUAAAAAGGUGCUGACCGAGGCCGAAGACAAAGCGGCCAAGGAGCGCGCCGAGCGCGAGUAGCAAGAGGCCCGAAUCGAUGAGGUCCAGCAAGAGCUCCAGGAUUUCGUCAAAAAAUGCGAUUCCUUGGAGCGUGACUCUAAGACGCAAGAGUCCGAGCUUGCGAAGGCCCUCCAGAGCGCACGAGACACCAAGGACGAAGCCCAAAAGGCCCUCCAGGAGAUUCAGGCGGCCAAGAAGAUAGCGGCGGGUAAGGCAUUCAUUAUGCAAAGCAAGCAUGUGAAGGAGACUGUCCUUUUACUUACCCGAAUUUGGAGCUCUCCAGGAGCAUUCGCAGAUCUGUCACGCAGCAUAUCUGAUGCCGUAGAGUUCUACCGAGCUGAAGAAGGGAGCUCGACAGAGAAGUUGUUCUGAUCUCAGUAUAUUGGGACCGAACAUCCGAUGCCCUUGAGCGACGAGCUGGAGCAACUGGUCGAACUGCACAAGGCGGCCGAACUGGCCAUGAAGGACCUCAUAGUCCGGAUGUGGCUUGCCUAACCCCUACCCAGCAGCUACUUCGGCCUAGUAAAGCGGCUUGUGAGUGCCUGUCCGCGGCUUGAAGUUAUAAAGUGGUCAGUUUGCAUUGAAGGUGUGCGCAUGGCCUUCGCCUGCGCGAAAGUGCACUGGGCAAAGAUGGAUGCCAAGAAGUUAAUGACCGAGGGGCCGCCGAAGGGCAAGGAGCACUGCCACCCCGAGAAGUAUUAUGAUAGUGUCUUGAAGGGCUCCCGCCUUGUGGCGGAGCAAUGUGCUAAGGAUGUAAUAUUUGAGUGAAUGUACUCAUUUGAUCCUGUAAUAUGAAAACAAGUUCGUUUGCACAAUAUAACGCUUGUUGAUUAAAAUUUUACCUUCUGUGUGGCCGUUUAUAAAAUCUGAGAGUUCGCCAGUCGUCGACUUCUGCCCCCAUGUAACUAGUACCGGGGUGUUCGAUAUAAAUCUAAACAUUCUUUAUCCGUUUUUUUGUCCUUUAAGGAGGCGUUUAGUGCAACGACAAGGCAAUAAGAUUAUACGGCUUUAUCACUCUCACUUAGCCAUAGAAGUUAUAUAAUUUUAAAUUUUGGCAUAGCCCCUGGUAUUCGGAAGGCCGAACUUGGGGCGCUAUACACGCCUAAAUCGGACAAGGCCGAUUCCUCGCCCGAAGCAGAAAAAAUCUUUAAGGAUUUGAAACCUCUCGAACAGCGACUAGCUCUCGCCGCAUCAUGACAGUCAGUUUUCGGCUUUCUCUACUGAGGUGCUCGUCUGGAAGAACCAGGACACAAUCGCAGUAGUUGUCCCUGUGCCACCUUAGCCGAUAUAGCGGAACGUAAGGCAGCAAAACAUGGGAGCCGGGGAAACCCAACUAUUGACCCAAGACAUGAUUCGGAGUUGAUGCAUAUAAUGCUAUAAGUUCGGGGUGCUGCAUUGUCGAAAGUGUUCGGACUUUUCCUGCCGUGUUAUGGGGUACAUUGAAGCCCUUGGCGAUCUGAACGUACCAAAAUGUACGGGUGCAAUUUGUAAUAAAUAAACAGACAAGGAAAGAGAUAAAGAAAUGUAAUAAUAAGCUGACGUUAUACAUUAUUUUCCAUUGUUAUGUGAAUAAUACGUCAAGGCGCAUGUAUACAAGUAGUGCAAUAAGCACAAUAGGACUAUUUAACAUGUCCAUAACCAAGGGCGAGCUGCGUGUGGGUAUGUAAAAUAGGUAUAGCGAUCGUUAUCAGAGACCAGCUGGGGAUUCCCUUGUACGUCAAAGCUCCUUGCCUCCUUGGUGUUUCCGUCCAGUGAUGGGUCCGAUAAUCAGGCUAUCGGAAGAGCCUCCAGAAAAUAGGGACCUGAGAACAAAGAAAAGGGGGAAGGUGUACGGGUCCUGGGGCGGUUGAGCCACAUUAUGGACCGCAUUGUCUUUAUGUGAACUAGAUUAUUGACUCUAGUGCACUAGAGUCAAUACUAGUGACACUAUGUUGUCUAUAUAUUCACACAUGUAUUAUGUUUCCAGUUAAUACAAUUCUAGCAUCUAUGGUGGAGGGAGGCACCGCACACGGCUAAGAGAUCAAGAGAUCAAUUGUUGUCUCUAUGUGGUGCCCCCUCCCCCGUAUAUAAAGGAGUGGAGGAGGGGGCCGGCCAAGGGGGGUGGUGCGCCCUAGGGGGGGAGUCCAACUCUCACCGGGAGUAGGACUCCCCCUUUUCCAAUUAGGAGAGGGAGAGGGAAGGAAGAGGAAGGAGGGAGGAAGGAAAGGGGGGGGCGACCCCCCUACCAAUUCGGAUUGGGCUUGGGGGGGCGCGCCCCCUCCCUUGCUCCUUUCCCCGCCUUUCCACUAAGGCCCAAUAAGGCCCAUAUACCUCCCGGGGGGUUCCGAUAACCUCCCGGAGCUCCAGUAUUGUCCCAAUCUCACCUGGAACCUUUCGGGUGUCCAAAUAUAGUCCUCCAAUAUAUCAAUCUUUGUCUCUACCAUUUCGAGACUCCUCGUGAUGUCCGUAAUCACAUCCGGGACUCCGAACAACCUUCGGUACAUCAAAACUCAUAAACUCAUAAUAAAACUGUCAUCGUAACUUUAAGCGUGCGGACCCUACGGGUUCGAGAACUAUGUAGACAUGACCGAGACACGUCUCUGAUCAAUAACCAAUAGCGGAACCUGGAUGCUCAUAUUGGCUCCUACAUAUUCUACGAAGAUCUUUAUCAGUCAAACCGCAUAACAACAUACAUUGUUCCUUUUGUCAUCGGUAUGUUACUUGCCCAAGAUUCGAUCGUCGGUAUCUAAAUACCUAGUUCAAUCUCGUUACCGACAAGUCUCUUUACUCGUUACGUAAUGCAUCAUUCUGUAACUAACUCAUUAGCUACAUUGCUUGCAAGGCUUAUAGUGAUGUGCAUUAUCUAGAGGGCCCAGAGAUACCUCUCCGAUAAUCGGAGUGACAAAUCCUAAUCUCGAAAUACGCCAACCCAACAUGUACCUUCGGAGACACCUGUAGAGCUCCUUUAUAAUCACCAGUUACGUUGUGAUGUUUGGUAGCACACAAAGUGUUCCUCCGGUAAACGGGAGUUGCAUAAUCUCAUAGUUAUAGGAACAUGUAUAAGUCAUGAAGAAAUCAAUAGCAACAUACUAAACGAUCAAGUGCUAAGCUAACGGAAUGGGUCAAGUCAAUCACAUCAUUCUCCUAAUGAUGUGAUCCCGUUAAUCAAAUGACAACUCAUGUCUAUGGUUAGGAAACUUAACCAUCUUUGAUUAACGAGCUAGUCAAGUAGAGGCAUACUAGUGACACUAUGUUGUCUAUGUAUUCACACAUGUAUUAUGUUUCCGGUUAAUACAAUUCUAGCAUGAAUAAUAAACAUUUAUCAUGAAAUAAGGAAAUAAAUAAUAAGUUUAUUAUUGCCUCUAGGGCAUAUUUCCUUCACAUAUAUAUAUCAUAUGCUGAAGUGGCUGUCCAGCGCCCUGUGGGCGGUGGUUCUUGUUCUUCUCCGGCGUCGUCGUCCAUACUGUCGAUGUCUUUGGAGUCGAAAUCAAGCAUGUCGGUUAAGUCGUCGAUAGUGGCUAUUAAGUGGAUGGUGGGUGGGGAACGAAUUUCUUCAUCGUCCGCUUCCCACUCAAGCCGGACAUAGUUAGGCCAAGAGUCUCCUGACAGGGAGAGAGAUUUCAACGAAUUUAGCACGUCGCCCAAGGGCGAGUGCUGAAAGAUAUUCGUGGAGGUAAACUCCAUGAUCGGCACCCAAUCAGGUUCAGUGGGUGCAGAUAUACGCGGUUCGGAGCCUGCAGCCGGCGACGAGUCCAAGGGUCCGAUGACACAGACCUUAUUGGAGGCGAAGUCUGUGUUCGGCUCUACCGCCGAUGAGUGUGCAGCCUCCGUGGUGGGGCCUAUCCACCCGUCCUCGGAUGGCACGAUCUGCUCCAGAUUAAGAGCUGGGGCAGCUGCAGGUGCAAUCUCCCGAACACCGUCCGAUGGCAGAUCUAAGUCAUGCUCAUCAUGACUGUUCGGCGCACCUGUCAUGGGCUUGAAUCCAUCGAAGAUCAAGUCUCUGUGGAUGUCGGCGGUGUAGUUCAGGCUUCCAAACCUGACCCGAUGGCCAGGGGCAUAGCUAUCGAUCUGCUCCAGAUGGCCAAGCGAGUUGGCCCGCAGUGCGAAGCCACCGAAUAUGAAGAUCUGUCCGGGAAGGAAAACCUCACCAUGAAUCGCAUCGUUGUGGAUGAUCAACGGAGCCAUCAAGCCUUAUCGUGACGACACAGUGGAACUCUCAAUGAAAACACCAAUGUCGGUGUCAAAACCGGUGGAUCUCGGGUAGGGGGUCCCGAACUGUGCGUCUAAGGCUAAUGGUAACAUGAGGCGGGGGACACAAUGUUUACCCAGGUUCGGGCCCUCUAUAUGGAGGUAAUACCCUAUUUCCUGCUUGAUUGAUCUUGAUGAUAUGAGUAUUACAAGAGUUGAUCUACCACGAGAUCAUAGAGGCUAAACCCUAGAAGCUAUCCUAUGAUUAUGAUUGUUGUUGUCCUACAGACUAAACCCUCUGGUUUAUAUAGACAUCGGAGGGGGCUAGGGUUACACAGAGUCGGUUACAGAGAAGGAAAUCUACAUAUCCGAAUUGCCAAGCUUGCCUUCCACGCAAAGGAGAGUCCCACCUGGAAACGGGACGAAGUCUUCAAUAUUGUAUCUUCAUAGUCCAACAGUCCGUCAUAAGUAUAUAGUCCGGCUAUCCGAGGACCCCUUAAUCCAAGACUCCUUCAGCCGACACUACCCCCAUAGCCGCCGCAACCGCCCGUCCACCUCCUUCGUCUUCGUCCAGCACCAGCCCGUCAUCAGCGUCGCCGUCAUCUUCCCCGACCACUUCGUCUACUCCGACCACCGUUGGUGACAUUGGCCUCGCGCCGAUGGACGCCACACUCAUCUUCGAGUUUUUCUCUGUUGGCCCCUCCGACUUCUCCGACAUGGCGUACAGCUCAUGCAGGUCCCAGUCUCCGCAUGCCUGGUGCUGGCAACACCGAUGCAUGCCUUCAUCCACGACGUGUCCCUGGGCCUGGCCAGCCUGGUCGGCACUUCCUUCGACUUCGUCUUCGUCCACCUAUGCAUGCCCGGUGCUGGCAACAAUGGUGCAUGCCUUCAUCCACGAUGUGUCCCCGGGCUUGGCAAGCCCGCCGCGAAGCGUCGUCAACAACAUCUUCUUCCCGGUGCACCACUACUUCGACACCACUGCGCCCAUGCUAACUCGGCCCCCCUUGCGCCCGCGGUUCCACAUCGACUUCCUCGACACCGGCCACCCCGACUCGACAUCGACCACGACAUUCUUCACACGGCUACCUCGACCACGGCUACACCACUCACGCGAUCGGCUACAUCGACAAACGACACAAAGGGCUAUCGCCUGAUUGAGCAACCUCGUCGGUUUCCACUCCAGCCACAACUCUGCGAUGCAUCGACCGUNNNNNNNNNNNNNNNNNNNNNNNNNNNNNNNNNNNNNNNNNNNNNNNNNNNNNNNNNNNNNNNNNNNNNNNNNNNNNNNNNNNNNNNNNNNNNNNNNNNNNNNNNNNNNNNNNNNNNNNNNNNNNNNNNNNNNNNNNNNNNNNNNNNNNNNNNNNNNNNNNNNNNNNNNNNNNNNNNNNNNNNNNNNNNNNNNNNNNNNNNNNNNNNNNNNNNNNNNNNNNNNNNNNNNNNNNNNNNNNNNNNNNNNNNNNNNNNNNNNNNNNNNNNNNNNNNNNNNCUCCAGUCUCACCGUCUGCGUCGCUACCGUUGUGACUGCGGGGGAUGUUGAGUAUCGUGAUUAUUAGGAAAGACGAGAUAAACUAGGAUUUGUUCUAGCUUGUCUUGUACUCCAAGUAGAUCAUUGUACUCCUAUAUAUAUGCCCACGAGGCUCAAACAAUAGAACAAACAACUAUUCCACCAGAUCCCUCUCUCCCUUCUAACAUUUACGUUAUUUGAACAGGUGACCAACUUUAUAUUUCCCCGCAACCAAGGUGAUGAACGAAGACGAACCAACAUGUAGUUGGAUGGUUAGGAGGAUGAGAGUAUUCUUGGCCCACUCGGGUUUAAGUCUCAGUGGGAGAAGAUGUUCCCGUCGACUACAAGACGGCUACGGUGACUUUGAGUGUAUGCUUGUAUAUAUGAGUGUUUAGAGCAACUCCAACGGGGCGACCCAUUUCGUUGGCCGCCGUCCGUUCGGGUCUACGCGGACAAAAGUGGAGGCCCAACGCGCCGAUCCAAACCCAAAACGCGUCCGCUUCGCGUUCGCGCCGACGCAUUUGCGUCCCAAAUUUGCGCCCCAAAUGCAUCAGCACGGAGGCGGAACAGACGCCGCGCGCGCCUUCUUGACGUCCGCCGCGGCCCCACCUGGCGGUUGCUCAACUACCCGCCCUCUCGCGGGUCAGCUUAAUUUAUGACCCUGAGCCCACGCAUCAGCAACGGCGGUCGUCCUUUUUUAAGCCGACCAUGUGGCGGGGCCCUCCUCAUCCAUUUUCCGUCCCCAUCGAGGCCAUGCUCGCUCCGCCGUCGCUGGCAAGACAACCCUAGCCACCCCAGCCGCCCAAAUGGGGCUCUUCUCCGGCAGCAGCAGCAAGCCGAAGGGCAAGGUUCCCGUCGUCCCCUUCCCCAUGGAGUUCACCCCGCCUCCGCCUGCGCCUGCUUGCCGGCAAAGGCAGCGGGUGAACGUGCCCGUGCACCAGGCGGAGUGGCACUGGCACCACUGCGUGCUGCUGCCGUACCCCGACGUGACGCUGCCGCACGACUGGCAUCUGAAUCCGGAAAGGAUCCCAGUGUCGGCGGCGCCGCGGUCGGCUAGGGAGCAUGCGGAGGAGGUGCAUCGCCGGCAGGCGCUCCUGACGCGGGAGCAGCGCCGCGAUGAGGCGUACGCCUUCGACUCGCUCAACUGGGCGCGCUGGUUCGCUUCGAGCACGAGGGGGCGAGGCAGCGCGACGUGCGGAGGUCGCCCACAGUGUGCCGCCGCCGCCGCUCAUCAUCAGGGAGGAAGACCAGGCAGCACGGGACGCCUACCAGGCGGCCCUUGCGGCCGUCUACCGGGAGAGCGAGGAGGACGAGCGGCGCAAGGCGGAGGCGGCAGAAGAAUAAGAAGCUCGGUACGAGGCGGCCAUGGUGUAGGCCAUGGCCCUCUCCGCGGCCGGCGACUGCGUGGUGCUGCCGGUGGCCCCGCCGUCCCCUCCCCAACGCCUCGUCAAGGCCGACCCGGAGCCGCAGCCACAACCGGAGCCGGAGCUGGGCUCCACCGCGAGCUUCUCCUGGACGGGAAUGGUGCGCGAGUGGGUGUCGGCGCCACCGGUUUGGAUGGGGGCGACCCCCGGCGCAGGAGGCGGCAUACCUCGAGCACGGGCGCCAGCGACGGCUGGCUGAGGAGCGGUGUCAAGGCGAGUACGAGGAGAUGCUCGAGCGCGACCUCGAGGAGGAGGCGCGCGAGACUCAGGAGNNNNNNNNNNNNNNNNNNNNNNNNNNNNNNNNNNNNNNNNNNNNNNNNNNNNNNNNNNNNNNNNNNNNNNNNNNNNNNNNNNNNNNNNNNNNNNNNNNNNNNNNNNNNNNNNNNNNNNNNNNNNNNNNNNNNNNNNNNNNNNNNNNNNNNNNNNNNNNNNNNNNNNNNNNNNNNNNNNNNNNNNNNNNNNNNNNNNNNNNNNNNNNNNNNNNNNNNNNNNNNNNNNNNNNNNNNNNNNNNNNNNNNNNNNNNNNNNNNNNNNNNNNNNNNNNNNNNNNNNNNNNNNNNNNNNNNNNNNNNNNNNNNNNNNNNNNNNNNNNNNNNNNNNNNNNNNNNNNNNNNNNNNNNNNNNNNNNNNNNNNNNNNNNNNNNNNNNNGCCGACACUGCCCCCGCCGGAAUAGCUGCCCCCGGUCUACAUCGCCGCCGCAUGGGCCACGGCGUUCCCCUGGGCCGACCCUCCGCCGACGCUCAUCGACCUCACUGACCCCGAGGACGACGACGACGACGACGCCUAGGGUGCGUUGGACAGCGCGCCGCCUCGUAGUUAGGUUGUUUUUAAAUUUUUUUUAAUGCUAUUGUGGACGCGUGGACUCUCGCCGGCCUUCCUGGUCGGCUUUAAUGUUUAAUUAAAUUAUUUUCAGUUGAAAUAUGCAUGCACAGUUUUUUUUUUGUCGGCACCGUCAAAAUGGGUCGGGCGCGCGUUGGGCGCAUACGCCGACCCAAACGCGAAAGCGGACGUCCGUGUCCACCCUGACCGAUCAAAACGGAUAAAAAGCGGACGAAAUCGCUGUCCGUUUGGGUUGGCCCGUUGGAGUUGCUCUUAUGUUUGUAGUGUGUUAAAAAGAAAAGUUGAUCAACCAAGGAUUUGCAGCGAACUACUCGCGGAAUUGGGUUGGACGAAAACAGGGAGCGCCCACACAGAUCUCCAACAAAACGGAGGGCACACUCACGCACAUGCCCCUACGUGUUAUCCUACGCACGAACACGCUCCUUGGCUCUCUCCCAACCCCGAUCGAUCUUUAUCCAGUUGCGGGGCAGUGGUCAUCAAAAAGUAUCAGAGGCGAGUCACGUGGAUUGGUUUUUACUAUAUGCGGGCCAUCUGUGCUCUGCCGCGUCGCCCACCUUACGCUCGUCUGAAACCCACGGUCCCCGCACGCCGGUUUCGCGGUUUCUUGCAGCCUAUAAAUCCGGCCGGAGCACCCAGCUCUGCCACAUCCCAUCUCACACAACCUCUACUCAUCUUACCUGACACACUUCACUUCCUUCGGAUCUCGUGCCACCAAGCUCUGCUCCCGCCAAGAUGUCGACGGUGACCCGCGCCUACCUCGACCAGAGGCUCGCCGCCGCCAAGCGCUGCUCCAAAGGUAACGGUUCGGGCCUCAGGCCAGCACUGCUCUGCUCGUAUAUCC
rnacentral:lncRNA from 1 species